rnacentral:rRNA from 1 species
UACGGAGGAUGCGAGCGUUAUCCGGAUUUAUUGGGUUUAAAGGGUGCGUAGGCGGGCUGCCAAGUCAGCGGUAAAAUUGCGGGGCUCAACCCCGUCGAGCCGUUGAAACUGGCGGUCUUGAGUGGGCGAGAAGUAUGCGGAAUGCGUGGUGUAGCGGUGAAAUGCAUAGAUAUCACGCAGAACUCCGAUUGCGAAGGCAGCAUACCGGCGCCCGACUGACGCUGAAGCACGAAAGCGUGGGUAUCGAACAGG